UGGCCGGUAGCUCAACGGUCAGAGCGGCGUCCCUAUAAGGCGUGCGCAGCGGGUUCAACUCCCGUCCGGCCCA
rnacentral:tRNA from 1 species